CCUACGGGAGGCAGCAGUGAGGAAUAUUGGUCAAUGGACGAGAGUCUGAACCAGCCAAGUAGCGUGAAGGAUGACUGCCCUAUGGGUUGUAAACUUCUUUUAUAUGGGAAUAAAAUGUUCCACGUGUGGGAUUUUGUAUGUACCAUAUAAAUAAGGAUCGGCUAACUCCGUGCCAGCAGCCGCGGUAAUACGGAGGAUCCGAGCGUUAUCCGGAUUUAUUGGGUUUAAAGGGGGCAUAGGUGGAUUGUUAAGUCAGUUGUGAAAGUUUGCGGCUCAACCGUAAAAUUGCAGUUGAAACUGGCAGUCUUGAGUACAGUAGAGGUGGGCGGAAUUCGUGGUGUAGCGGUGAAAUGCUUAGAUAUCACGAAGAACUCCGAUUGCGAAGGCAGCUCACUGGACUGCAACUGACACUGAGGCUCGAAAGUGUGGGGAUCAAACAGGAUUAGAUACCCCUGUAGUC
rnacentral:rRNA from 1 species